rnacentral:rRNA from 1 species
CAGUAGCCACGGGAAUACGAAGGGUGCAAGCGUUACUCGGAAUUACUGGGCGUAAAGCGUGCGUAGGUGGUGGUUUAAGUCCGUCGUGAAAGCCCUGGGCUCAACCUGGGAAUUGCAGUGGAUACUGGGUCACUAGAGUGUGGUAGAGGAUAGUGGAAUUUCCGGUGUAGCAGUGAAAUGCGUAGAGAUCGGAAGGAACAUCUGUGGCGAAGGCGACUAUCUGGGCCAACACUGACACUGAGGCACGAAGGUGUGGGGAGCAAACAGGAUUAGAUACCCCCUGUAGUCCCUGUCUCUUAUU